GACGAACGCUGGCGGCGUGCCUAAUACAUGCAAGUAGAACGCACAGGAUGCACCGUAGUUUACUACACCGUAUUCUGUGAGUUGCGAACGGGUGAGUAACGCGUAGGUAACCUGCCUGGUAGCGGGGGAUAACUAUUGGAAACGAUAGCUAAUACCGCAUAAGAACAUUUACUGCAUGGUAGAUGUUUAAAAGGUGCAAAUGCAUCACUACCAGAUGGACCUGCGUUGUAUUAGCUAGUAGGUGAGGUAACGGCUCACCUAGGCGACGAUACAUAGCCGACCUGAGAGGGUGAUCGGCCACACUGGGACUGAGACGCGGCCCAGACUCCUACGGGAGGCAGCAGUAGGGAAUCUUCGGCAAUGGGGGGAACCCUGACCGAGCAACGCCGCGUGAGUGAAGAAGGUUUUCGGAUCGUAAAGCUCUGUUGUUAAGGAAGAACGAGUGUGAGAAAUGGAAAAGUUCAUACUGUGACGGUACUAAAC
rnacentral:rRNA from 1 species